rnacentral:tRNA from 1 species
GGUCCGGACUUCAAAACGGUAGCGGGGAAGCUG